CUAUAAAACAGGGUGUAACACCCCGGUCUACAUCUUGGCAGAGACACAUAUACGUAUGUUGUAUACCUGGUUCCUAUUUUGAACAUCUACGUGUCAUUUUCUGUCUUUUUGACAUCCAUCAGCAAGCUUCGUUGACUUAAGGUAGACCAGAAAAGCCACAUCCCUGAUUGGCAGAUGAGCGGCAACCCUGAUUACAAGCACCUGCUGCUCAUCGGUUCUUUACAAAAUGCUGUUUUGAAUUAGAAUAAAGUUGUACCUAAACACCGAAGAAGGCUGUAAAG